rnacentral:sRNA from 1 species
CAGGGACGACCUCGGCCUGAAGACGGCCA